AAGCACUUGAUACUAACCAAGCUAUCUGUAUCCUGAUGCUGCUCCAGAAGGUUGGGAUGUAUCUUGUGAUAGCUGGGUUUUAUAAGUGCAAUAUUAAAGUAAACCAUGAGUCUUUUAAGCCCAGCAUGUGGAGGUGAGCACGCUGGGUUAUAACUCAAAGGUACAGCA